rnacentral:rRNA from 1 species
UACGGGGGGGGCAAGCGUUGUUCGGAAUUACUGGGCGUAAAGGGCUCGUAGGCGGCCAACUAAGUCGGAUGUGAAAUCCCCAGGCUCAACUUGGGAACUGCAUCCGAUACUGGAUGGCUUGAAUCCGGGAGAGGGAUGCAGAAUUCCAGGUGUAGCGGUGAAAUGCGUAGAUAUCUGGAGGAAUACCGGUGGCGAAGGCGGCUGGCUGGACCGCAACUGACGCUGAGGAACGAAAGCGUGGGUAGCAAACGGG